rnacentral:rRNA from 1 species
AUACGGAGGGUGCGAGCGUUAAUCGGAAUUACUGGGCGUAAAGCGUACGUAGGCGGUUGGUUAAGUUAGAUGUGAAAGCCCCGGGCUUAACCUGGGAACUGCAUUUAAAACUGGCGAACUAGAGUUGAGUAGAGGGGAGUGGAAUUUCAGGUGUAGCGGUGAAAUGCGUAGAGAUCUGAAGGAACACCAGUGGCGAAGGCGGCUCCCUGGACUCAAACUGACGCUGAGGUACGAAAGCGUGGGUAGCAAACGGGAUUAGAAACCCCUGUAGUCC